CCGGCCAAGGGGACUGCCGCACGACGUGCCCGAGGUCGUCACCUCGCGCGAGGCCCUGCGCGCCCCCCCCCCGUUCCGCCCUCCCGGUCGGGUCCGCGCGCCACCUGCCACCGAGAGCCGGACUGCCCUGGCGACUGGCCUUUUCUCGGAAGCCGGGGGGCGGGGGGGUUGCGGCAACCAGUAACCGCCUGUAUCGCGGAGAAGAAAGAGAAGGUUGUGCCCGAGCACGGGAGAAAGUACAGCCCCGCGCAGCCGCCGGGCCCUGCCUGAGGGACGCUCGGAGCUCGCGGGGCCCGCUGGGGACUGUAGUCUUUGUGACGCGAGCCGGCGGAGCGGCGGAGCGGCGGAGCGGCGGAGCGCCCGGUCGCGGCCCCCAUCACUCUCCAGCGCCCCUCAGCGUCGGCUCUGCUUCGGGGGCGGACAGGUAAGGUCGGGCUCCGGUCACCACGGCCCCGCCGGCCUAAUCGAAACCCAGGUGUUUGGACAAGGCAAGUUGGCAAGUCUUGCUUCUUGGAGCUUUUGCUUAAGUCCUCCCAUUUCUAAAUAUUAAUUUCCGAUUCUCCGCUACUCUGAGAGACGCAGGAAGACAUUGCAACGAGUAAAAUGUAUUUAGGCGGCGCGCUAGACACCUUCAUUUAACCUUCACACCUCGCGAUGUAGGUGCUCUGGUUUCCCCCAUUUUACUGCUGGAUUACUAAACUGGAAAGGAACUUGCUCAGAAUCCUACGGCUAACCAAAACCGGAAUUUGAAGUAGUUCUAACCCCAGAGCCGGAGCUUCAUUUGUUUUCUGAAGAUCUUACCCGCCAAAGUGCGGGGACAUAUGUUUAGAGAUUUUUUUUUUUUUUAAUGCAUGUACUGUUUCAUGGAUUUUUUUUCCCAUGUUAUGAAUAUACAGAUUUUCUUGACGCAUUUUCCUUCAGAAUGCACCGUCCUAUUAAUGCCUGAACUAUUAAUGCUGUUUAAUUUCGCUGACAAUGAUUAUUACCAUUUUCUAUCAUAAAUUUAUACACAUUUCAAAUGAUUUUUUUAGGAUCCACAAUACAGUUGCUUGAUCAAAGGGAAAGAACAUGAUACAUACUGUCAAAUUUCUUCUUUCUAUAAUGGUUUAACAAUUCCGCAGUGGUAUAUAAUAUUUCACGGGUCCUCAUCAUUAGGUAUUGUCCAAACGAACAUCACAAAUAUACUCAUGCUGUACCAUUUCUGAUUAAACUGUUUAUAGAGUGUAACAUCACUAGAAAACUUAGUGCUUUUUUAAAUGUUUUAAGGUACACGAUUAAACAUUUAGUAUACCGGUCUCA